GGGGAUGACGGGAUUCGACUGGUUAAGAGAAACGGACAGUGCAGGUCGUGGAUGAUGGAGGGCCACGUUAAAAAGCUAUCAAAACUUUAAAUGUCAAGACUAAUGUCAAGACUCGCCGUUUUAACGGCAUCAGUAGCGCCCGUGUUAGUACGGGUGUUGCACUCGCAGCCUAAGCGAGUUAAUUUAGGCCAGAACCUUCUCAAUGUGGUUAAUACAUUGGAGUCUUUUGUUAGUAAGGACUUAAACUAAACUAGAUAGUUGUGGGUAGGAAGAACCCAAUAAGUUGUUAGACUAACAUAACUAACUAUACCUGUGAAUGAAUUUAAGUAGAUUUUAAUCAACACGCCGGUUCAACUCCGGCCAUCUCCAUAA
rnacentral:tmRNA from 1 species